rnacentral:lncRNA from 1 species
AGCCGUUUGCAAGUUUAACGGUGUAGAAAUAUCCAAAUCACGUGAAAUUUUGAUAGAAAAUUCUUUAUACUAUAUAAAACAAGAUCAAUAUAUUUGAUUUUAAAUUUUAAUGUCGUAUUAUUACAUUUUGUAAGAUUUUUAUUUUCAGCCGUUGAUUUUGAGCCCCUUCGUUCACUAGGCAAAUGAUAUCGUAAAAUCAUAAAAUUUAUUUUCUAGGUACUUCAAAUACUCUAGAUCAAGUUUAACGGAGCCGAUCGACAAUUCGAAAGUCGCAUCAUCGAAAACGAGCUGAAAGCACGGAAGGCUCUGUACUUCCGAUAGCAUAGUAGCCUCACUCUCUCUCUCUCUCUCUCUCUCUCUCUAUAUAUAUAUAUAUAUAUAUAUAUAUAUAUAUGAGUUUGACUGGACUACUAUCGAUAGUAAACUGCUCGAUUUACUACCGAUUUGUUUUUGAUGAUAGAGCUUCCAAAUCGACGAUCGGUACCGUUGAACAUGAUCUAGACCAUUUAAAUUAUCUAGAAAUCAAAUUUCAUGAUUUUUUUGGCAUCACUAACUGAACGAUCAAAAGUACACAAAAUCUAUAAUUUAAUGGCCGAUAUGGUGGGUUUGCUCGUUUAACGGUAUAGAAGAGUUCAAAUCAACUAAAUUUUUAUUAAAAUUUUUUUUUUAACUAUUUAAAAUAAGAUCUAGACUCUAAAUCUCAAAUAUAAAAAUUGUAUCAUCACUUUUUGAAGGAUAUUCAUUUCCAGCCAUUUAUUUUUCUGUUCACUUGAUGGACAAGAGAACAAUAUCGAAAAUGAGUGAAAUUUAAUUUCCAAAUAGUUUAAGUAGUUUAGAUCAUAUUUAACGGUACAGAUCAUCAAUUUGGAAAGUCUAUCAUCGAAAACAAAUCGGUAGUAAAUCGAGCCGUUUACUAUCGAUAGUAUUCUAGCAAACCUCAUAUAUAUAUAUAUAUAUAUAUAUAUAUAUAUAUAUAUAAAUUGAUCUCCUAUACUUUUAAAAAUACCAAGUUAUUGGUGCUUAUAGAUUUUUAGCCAUUGGAUUAAGAGAUAUGCGGUUAGGAUGAUGUGGGCCCCCUAGGGUUU